rnacentral:rRNA from 1 species
UACGUAGGGUGCAAGCGUUGUCCGGAAUUAUUGGGCGUAAAGAGCUUGUAGGCGGUUUGUCGCGUCUGCUGUGAAAUUUCGGGGCUCAACCCCGAACUUGCAGUGGGUACGGGCAGACUAGAGUGUGGUAGGGGAGACUGGAAUUCCUGGUGUAGCGGUGAAAUGCGCAGAUAUCAGGAGGAACACCGAUGGCGAAGGCGGGUCUCUGGGCCGUAACUGACGCUGAGGAGCGAAAGCGUGGGGAGCAAACAGG